CCUUUCUUACCCAACAGUGCAACUGAAGGACCUGCUGUGCUGCACCUGGAUGUGGUGGAAAGUUCGAUGGCUUCAGCAGCUCUGAACUGCACUCCAGCUGCCCAGCAUGAUGUCUGCUUAAAAGAGCAGCUGUGCAACCAGGGAACACACCUGAUUAUUUCCUGAUCAGGGCUGCCCUGCGUAAAGGAGUGGUUUCCACUGUGUACCAUCCGGACGUGCAAUCUUCCCCUCCAACACUGCUACUCUUUUCUCUGCUCUUGUCCUGGAGGUGGCUACAGAGGAGGGGCAGCAGGAUGCCGCGCUGGCCCAGGAGGGAAAGAAGAGGCCACUGUGCUGUGCCAUGUGCUGUGUGGCACUGCAGCAAGAAGCAGGGCAGAGGCCACCGUGCUGGACUGCAGGAAUGUUGGAUAUCUGCACACUGCAGGAAAACAUGAGGAAGGAGUCGUGUGGAGUUAGUGACUCACACAAUUAAGAUUUGGCAUGGCUGAGUGGGAAGAUAGCAACAUGGUUUUCCCAUAAAAGGGGCAAAUAUGUUAUUGCUGUGGUAUAUGAGAUUUAAUUAAAUGGCAAGGUCAAUUCAACUACUUCCAAAACUUUUGUUUGGAAGCUUGCGAGGCUUUGUUUCCUGCUAAAGCUGUUCAUUGAGUAUUACCAAUUAGUUCCCCUGAAAAUGAGAUUGAUUUCAU